rnacentral:misc_RNA from 1 species
UCUCCGUAGGUGAACCUGCGGAGGGAUCAUUACCGAGUGAGGGUUCCGGCCCGACCUCCAACCCUUUGUGAAUUCGACCCAGUUGCCUCGGGGGCGACCCGGCCUUCGGGCGUCGGGGCCCCCGGUGGAAACCCAUCAAAACCCUGCAUCUCUGGCGUCUGAGUAGAAAUUGAAUCAAUCAAAACUUUCAACAACGGAUCUCUUGGUUCUGGCAUCGAUGAAGAACGCAGC